CAGCACCUCAAGUGGUCAGGAUGAUUAUUGGGCCUAAAACGUCCGUAGCCGGUUUAGUAAAUGCCUGGGUAAAUCGUGUAGCUUAACUAUACGACUUCCGGGUAGACUGCUAAACUUGAGACCGGGAGAGGCUAGAGGUACUCCUGGGGUAGAGGUGAAAUUCUGUAAUCCUAGGGGGACCCCCAGUGGCGAAGGCGUCUAGCUAGAACGGGUCUGACGGUGAGGGACGAAGCCCUGGGGCACAAACCGGAUUAGAUACCCGAGUAGUCC
rnacentral:rRNA from 1 species